rnacentral:lncRNA from 1 species
AUACACUGAGGUGCAAAACAAAUCUGAAUUGCAUCAAUUUGUGAUUUUUCCAUUCACACAUGCAUUGUGUAAAAAUCAGGAUCCCAAAGCGCAGAAACACUACUAUUAUUACCGGUGCCAUUAUUACAACUGCUGCUGUUAAUAAUGAUGAUGGCUGAUGUUUAUCAAGAGUUUUCUGUAUGCCUGCACUGUUUUAACAUUUUACAUAAAUUAAUAAUUUACAUCUCCUAAAACUCCUAUGAAGUCAUUACUAUUAUUUCCUCCAUUUUACAGAUAAAGAAGUAAGACUUGGAGAAGGUAAGUAACUUGUCUAAGAUUAUACAUCGAGGAAUUGAAGGAAUUGGGAAUUGAACCCAGAGUUCAAACAUUAACAAUGUCACUCUACUUUUUGUCUCAUAAUACUAGUAAAAUUAGUUUAUAGUUAGGUAGUGGUUUGUGUCUGUCAUAGCAAUAAUCUCAUUUUAUCCUUGCAACAGUCCAGUGAAAUAGAGGUCAAUUAUCUUUAUUUUACAGAUAUGAAACUUGGUCAAAAAGAUUAAGGGAUUUGCCUAAAGUCACAGUGCUCUGUACGAGUGAAAUCAGAUGGUUCUCCCACUAUGGUGGCAACUAAAAACUUCUCCCAUCCUGUUUCGGAUUCUACUCUACCUUUACUGGCACCAUCUCAUUGAAGAAAGCGUCUAUGAGGAUUCCACUGGAGUCUUGGUUCAUUGUGUAUUUUUCUGAAAAUAAGAAAGAAGAAGAAGAAAAAGAAGAGACAGAAGAAGAAGGAGG